AGCUCCAGUAGCGUAUAUUAACGUUGUUGCAGUUAAAAAGCUCGUAGUUGGAUUUCUGGCCUGGUGCGCCUGAUCCACGGCUCUUUUAAGGGACGUGUGUAUCGGUCGCGCGCCUGCCAUCCUUCUGGAGAGUACGCCUACCCUUCACUGGGCCGGGUGUACAAUCUGGAUCUUUUACUUUGAAAAAAUUAGAGUGUUUCAAGCAGGCAUUAUGCUGUGAAUACAUUAGCAUGGAAUAAUAAGAUAGGACUUCGGCUCUAUUUUGUUGGUUUCUAGGACUGAAGUAAUGAUUGAUAGGGAUAGUUGGGGGUGCUAGUAUUUAACGGCCAGAGGUGAAAUUCAUGGAUUCGUUAAAGACUAACUAAUGCGAAAGCAUUCACCAAGGAUGUCUUCUUUAAUC
rnacentral:rRNA from 1 species